UACAGAGGUCUCAAGCGUUGUUCGGAAUCACUGGGCGUAAAGGGUGCGUAGGCCGCACGGUAAGUCAGAGGUGAAAUCCCGGAGCUCAACUUCGGAAUUGCCUCCGAUACUGCCGUGCUUGAGGACUGGAGAGGAGUCUGGAAUUCACAGUGGAGCAGUGAAAUGCGUAGAUAUUGUGAGGAACACUAGUGGCGAAGGCGAGACUCUGGACAGUUCCUGACGCUGAGGCGCGAAAGCGUGGGGAGCAAACGGG
rnacentral:rRNA from 1 species